rnacentral:rRNA from 1 species
CAGUAGCCGCGGUAAUACGGAGGGAGCUAGCGUUGUUCGGAAUCACUGGGCGUAAAGCGCACGUAGGCGGCUAUUCAAGUCAGGGGUGAAAGCCCGGGGCUCAACCCCGGAACUGCUUUUGAAACUAGAUAGCUUGAAUCUUGGAGAGGCGAGUGGAAUUCCGAGUGUAGAGGUGAAAUUCGUAGAUAUUCGGAAGAACACCAGUGGCGAAGGCGACUCGCUGGACAAGUAUUGACGCUGAGGUGCGAAAGCGUGGGGAGCAAACAGGAUUAGAUACCCGCGUAGUCCCUGUCUCUUAUAC